rnacentral:rRNA from 1 species
AACGAACGCUGGCGGCAGGCCUAACACAUGCAAGUCGAGCGAGGACUUCGGAUCUAGCGGCGGACGGGUGAGUAACGCGUGGGAAUGUGCCCUUCUCUACGGAAUAGCCCUGGGAAACUGGGAGUAAUACCGUAUACGCCCUAUUGGGGAAAGAUUUAUCGGAGAAGGAUCAGCCCGCGUUGGAUUAGGUAGUUGGUGGGGUAAUGGCCUACCAAGCCGACGAUCCAUAGCUGGUUUGAGAGGAUGAUCAGCCACACUGGGACUGAGACACGGCCCAGACUCCUACGGGAAGCAGCAGUGGGGAAUCUUAGACAAUGGGGGCAACCCUGAUCUAGCCAUGCCGCGUGAGUGAUGAAGGCCUUAGGGUUGUAAAGCUCUUUCAGCUGGGAAGAUAAUGACGGUACCAGCAGAAGAAGCCCCGGCUAACUCCGUG